UACUGGGGUGGCAGAGCAUGGUUAAUUGCGAAAGGCCUAAGCCCUUUAAACCAGGGGUUCAAAUCCUCUCCCCAGUU
rnacentral:tRNA from 2 species